rnacentral:rRNA from 1 species
AUACGUAGGGAGCGAGCGUUGUCCGGAAUUACUGGGUGUAAAGGGAGCGUAGGCGGGAGUGCAAGUCAGAUGUGAAAUACAUGGGCUCAACCCAUGGGCUGCAUUUGAAACUGCAUUUCUUGAGUGAAGUAGAGGUAAGCGGAAUUCCUGGUGUAGCGGUGAAAUGCGUAGAUAUCAGGAGGAACACCGGUGGCGAAGGCGGCUUACUGGGCUUUUACUGACGCUGAGGCUCGAAAGCGUGGGGAGCAAACAGGAUUAGAUACCCUGGUAGUCCACGCUGUAAACGAUGAAUACUAGGUGUGGGGGGACUGACCCCCUCCGUGCCGCAGUUAACACAAUAAGUAUUCCACCUGGGGAGUACGAUCGCAAGAUUGAAACUCAAAGGAAUUGACGGGG